rnacentral:lncRNA from 1 species
UUGGCUCAGAGAUUGCUAUUUCGCCUUGGCCACAGAUUUCAUCAGUUGCCCGGUUCACCUUUGUCCGCGUUAUACUUGUGAAAUGACCCCUUCCGUUAGUGCUUGUCAAUAGUAAAUUGCUAUAUUCUGUGCCUAGAAACACACUGGAGGACGACAACACUUUAUUGAAUGACUGAGUUUGUAGUUAAUUUUUUUUCCAAAAUUAAAACUUAAUUGGAAUAGUUCUAAUUGUUAUUUAGUGUCCAUGAAUUAAGACAUUGUUUGGGGUCAGCUAUUUCUGAUAAUGUUCUUAUUCUUAAAAAGAAUACAAGACUUUUAGACCAUACUGUACAUGUCUUUGCAGACCAAGUAUGUUUUGUUUCCUCUCUAAUUUUCUAUCCAUUCUACAAAAAUAUAAACAUGUGAGGUGGCCAAGGUUCAAUAGUACUAUGACACCAAAUUAAAUUUACAUUGGAGAAUUUUCUGUGGAUGAAUCCUUUGUCCACAGAAAGCUCUGUUUUGUUUAAAGCAAGGAAUAUGCACUCUCUCAUGUGAUGACAGAAUGAAAGAAAUUUCAAUUUCUUACUGAAGGCUAGCUUUGAGUAAUAUUUCCUUUCAAACAAAUAAGCAAAGUGUGGUACUUAAAAUAUUCAUCACUAUUUCGGUUAUUUCAAGAUUAAAUGUAUUUGUGUUAAACAUGUAAAUUUGUUAACUGUUAAAGUAUUAUCUAUUCCAUUAUAACAUUUAUGGGAAAGAACGUCGCUGCUCACUUCUUUACAGUGUUUAGCUCCUCUAUCUCAUUAACAAAGCUGUUGCCAAAAAUAGAACCCCCUGAUAAGUUGCUUGAAAAUGGAGGUAAAAUAAAUGCCAACCGCCUUCCAGACCCAGCUCUGGGGGACUCAAUGCUGCCUGCAGAACUUUCUUGUUUGUCCAGUGGUAUCAGGAAGCACCUAGGUUGAGAUGAAAGAAUUCACAACUUUUACUUUUCUAUCACCUGAAUUUCAAAGUCCUUACUUACAUCAUGGACUUUUGCUUCAUUUUAUUUUUGCUUUGUAUACUCUGAAAUAGCCAACCAUGAGAUUGUUUACCUAUUUAUAGGCAAAGAGAGAAGGGUGAAGGAGCCAGAGGGAGAGUCAGUGAUAGAGACAAGAGAGACACUUAGAGACACUGAGGGAGAGAAAGUAUGGAAGAAUACUGAUUUUCAUUAAAUUCUAGUAUCUCAAAUUAACAUAUGGUUGAUUGAAAUUUCAUUAUUAAAUAGACAUGAAAGAAAAAAGGUAUUAUUAGAAGCAAUACUUUUACUAAUGUUAGGCAACAUGAUAGCAAGGAAAUAACAAUUUCUCCACUUCCAGAUACAGAAAAUUAUACCAUUGCUGUGACUUUCAGGAAUAGAAGAGAUUCAGUGUUUGUGUAAAUCUUUGGGUAUAUUUGCUAUAUAUUUUUGUUUCUUUUAAGUGAAUUUUUAAAACUCACUAAUAUAUUGUAAAUGAAAAUAAAAUUUUGUUAGAUUUUCUGCCAACAAGAGUUCACCUCUGUGAUGCACAGUGAGUGAUUUCGACAUCGUGUCUCAGAGACUGAUAUUAGGGUUUUGUCUAAUGUUCAGAUCACAAUGGUAUUAAACCAAAAGGAUAUGUAUCAAAACACAAGUGGUAGGAUGCUCUGCUGCAGGAAAUAAUGUGAAUUUUGUAUUCUAAACAGUGUACUUUUUACACACCUUACC